GGCUUCACUUGUCAUGUACCGCUCCGGACCGUUUGUCCAUCUCCUGGGGAGGGAUGCGUGUUGGUGGUUGCCKGUGUGGCUCUAUCAACUGGAGGGAAUUUUCUAGUACUCGUCUUGUGACGGGAAGCGCUGGCAUGUUCUGCAGUUUGAUAAAUUGCAGCUGGAUGUGCCGCCCGCACAUGAGGAUGAUUCUGGCUCCUAUGGAUGCSGUGUACAACGAGUGAACUGCUGUCUGCUGGCCAGCAGUUCGCAC
rnacentral:misc_RNA from 1 species